UGGUUCUUGCUGCCUUUCGUUCCCCUAACCCCACCAGCGAAACUUUCCGGUGUGAUGGUUCCACGAGGGCUCCCCCAGGUGCUGAAAGAAGAAUGCUUGACCCGGAGAACGGCCUGCCUGGUUUCGGAGAGCCAAGGCCUCGCAUACCUAUGCAGGGGCAACGCACGCAGGGCAUGCGCGAUGGGGGAACGCACAUGCACGUGACCUAGUGGGGCUACCUUCGAGCUCGGAGGGGAACAUUUGGUGACUUGAACAUGAGCUGAAGAGGGGAUGUGAGUGACCUGUGUGUAGCAGUGCCCAGGAGGCCAGAGUACUGUCAGCCAAGGAGAUCUGCAGCCCUUUUGUUGGACCUGGUGGGUUUGAUCAGAAUCUACUCUGCUUGGAGACUGCGAAGGCAGCAGAAGAGCAGAAAGCCCAGGAUGUGGGGCUGAGGAACUUGCCCCAGAACAGCCAGGAAGUGGUCCUAGGAAGGUCACCUUUGAGCAGAGGACCUCCCAUCUCCAGCCACUGAGCCACUCUGUAAACCCACAGGAGAGGGAGUGGGGAAGAAAGGACAAAAUAUUAGGUGCUAUUAGAGUCAAUACUAAGUAUUGGCAUACUUGUUAACAGUUUGGUGGUGCCAGUUAGGGAAGUGGGAGAAGAAGAAGACAGUGGUCACAGGGUGGUUGAGGCCUGCGUGUAUCUGAAAAGCCAGUGGUGGGAGUAGAAGGUAGCCAUCUUAAGCAGUGUUCAGUAGUGCUACUCUUAUCAAUAAGAAAAUGACCCAUUCUGAAGGGGAGGGGUUGCUUUUAAAGGAAAAGUUCUAAAAAUAUUUUCUAAAGGAAUACAGAGAGAAAGCUGCUAGUUACCAUAGCUUUUGCAGGCAAUUUGGAUAUAUAGUUUAUACUUUUUUUCUUUAUAAUGAUACCAGACUGUUUUGGUUUUUUUUAACCUCUAUGAUCAUGGGGCAGCUGGG